rnacentral:rRNA from 1 species
GACGUAGGGGGCCAGCGUUGUUCGGAAUUACUGGGUGUAAAGGGUUCGUAGGCGGCAAUUCAAGUCAUCUGUGAAAUCUCCGGCUUAACCCGGAAAGGUCAGAUGAUACUGCUUUGCUAGAGUGCGGAAGGGGCAAUCGGAAUUCUUGGUGUAGCGGUGAAAUGCGUAGAUAUCUGGAGGAACACCGGUGGCGAAGGCGGCAUCCUGGACCAACACUGAACGCUGAGGAGCGAAAAGCCAGGGGAGCAAACGGG